UGGUCUAGUGCUAUGAAGGGAGUUCUUUUGGAGCUCUGCCUCGUGUUGUUUCAUGAACGCCUAUGAACAAGAUGCUCUACAUGCCAUACGUAAUUUACGAGGUCUACACACUGUCAUUAUGUUGACCAUGUGUGACAAGGGCUAGGCAAAUAUUUAUCAUGUAGAAUGUGUUACCAGUUCUUAGCAUGCACCAAUUAUUUUAUUUUGCGUUUUUAAUGCAUCGCAUGAUUUCUUUUAUAACAAGACACCCUCCAAAGCAAUUCCACAGAGGCAGCGAGAGGUGUUCUCUCUAUACCUGUUUUUCCCCAUAUCUCUGGUUUUGAUUUCCUGAUAUACAGUUUAUAUAAAUACCACAAUAUGCCAGAUAUGAAAGAGAAAAGCGACAGAAGAAUCCAAUGGAAGAAUUUGGUGAAGAACAAGGUGCCUCUCUCUCUUUCUCAUGUGAACAUAGUAAGUUUAUUCCUGCACUUUGAUGUUACGAUUCAUGCUAAUGUAAACAUGAAUUGUGCACCUGGUACAGAACAGACUAUGCAUUGGAGGUUCAGAACCAAUUUCUAUGGGUAUGUACAAGCUGUUUUUAUUGCAUCUUGGUUUUAAAUUGGUGAAUUAGCAUAGCAUAUUGAAUGUUGAGCUUUAUUUCAUCUACAAUUGGUUCUGAACAUGUGUGCUUUUAACAAACUUUGUAUUCUUCUCUAUUUUGAAGAGCCCACAAAGAGACAAAAAAAUGGUGAUAGGUUCCUUUCUGUGGUUUAAGAACUCUGGGACUAGGCCAAACUAACUUUGUUGAACGAAUAACUUCCUCAUCUUAAAAUACAUUUGUGUUCGGCUGAUUUCAAGAUAAAUGUUUGAUCAUUGUCAGAUGAUCAACAUAUGGAUGUUAGUGAGAUUCAAGGGAAAGCGCGACACGACUGUGCCUUCUAUAAGCAAAGCUGAGCUGUUGAGGUAAUUGAUCUUUAGGUGCCUUCGAUAAGCACGCGACACAUCUGUAUGUUCUAUUCAUGUGGUUCCUUAUAUAAGUAUAUCUCAGCAAUAUGUGUCUUGUUUUACUUUUGUCCACGGUGACUAUGGCUGCAUUCUUGGCUUCAGUUAUUAUGUUUGAGUGUAAAAUUGGUUUUCUGAACUGAUGAAUAUGCUAAUUCAUCACUUGUCUCAUUUCUUCUUGCAAAUAGUUUCUACUCCAUGUGGAUAUGAGCUGCUAAGUUUUUUCAGUAACAAGUGUCCAUGUAAUUUUCUUUUGCUCGAGGCAGAUCAUAGCUUUUACGGUUUUAGAGGUGUUGCAAUAUUGAUUUCAGUUGUUCUCGUAUAUGGUUUUCAGAUUAUUCUAUCCUCAAGUAUUGGUUUAUUAUUGAGGAAGCCUUAAACGCAGGAGCUGAAUGUUGUUUUUUAUCUUUUGUCAAAGUCCUGAAUGGUCCAAUGAAAAUCUUGGUACGUACAGUUUCAGAGCUUCAUCCCAUUGUAGUAGGGCAAAAUGGUAUGCAGAGUGUUGAAAGCUUCAUUUUGGUCCAUUAGGUAGUUUAUAGCUUUGUCACUGGAGGUCUGACAAUAAUCGCAGCUUGUGAAAAUUAUAUAUGGCCAUGAGUGCUCAAUAGUUCUCCAUGCAACACAGCUAAUUAUUGAAUCUGUAAUACAUGCUUGUUUCUGGCAGAAGCUUAUUUGAUGAAUUAGCAUUGUGUAAAGUCUUUCUAAGCUCACUUCUCUUUUCUUUCUAUAAACUGGACGACCAGGAUAGAUUUCUCAAUACCAUUUUCGGAUUGUUUAAGCACUGAACAAUGUUAACAGGUUUACCAUUUCUCAUCUCUUUAUGAUAUGCGUAGGUAUUCUGGCAUCUCAAUUUGUCCCCAACCUCUUUCACCGGCCCAUAAAUUAUCUGUCUCUAGGUCUCCACAAUUGUAUUUUGGUGCAGAAAAACAAAGAACUAUUUUUGGCUCAGCUACUUUAUAGGUAUCGUGUACGUUGUCAUGGAUUUGAUGUCAUGUAGUUCCAGGUGUAUUAUUAUACUCCCAGUCUUAGUAUUAGAAAAACAAUAACUAUUUUUGCCUCAGCUACUUUAUAGGUAUCAUGUACGUUGUCAUGGAUUUGAUGUCAUGUAGUUCCAGGUGUAUUAUUAUACUCCCAGUCUUAGUAUAUGAAGGCGUGAUAUAAUGUUAC
rnacentral:lncRNA from 1 species